GUGGGGGAUAUUGUACAAUGGAGGAAACUCUGAUGCAGCGACGCCGCGUGAGUGAAGAAGUAUUUCGGUAUGUAAAGCUCUAUCAGCAGGGAAGAUAAUGACAGUACCUGACUAAGAAGCCCCGGCUAACUACGUGCCAGCAGCCGCGGUAAUACGUAGGGGGCAAGCGUUAUCCGGAUUUACUGGGUGUAAAGGGAGCGUAGACGGAAUGGCAAGUCUGAAGUGAAAUCCUGCGGCUUAACUGCAGAAUUGCUUUGGAAACUGUCAAUCUGGGGUGUUGGAGAGGUAAGCGGAAUUCCUGGUGUAGCGGUGAAAUGCGUAGAUAUCAGGAAGAACACCGGAGGCGAAGGCGGCUUACUGGACAAUAACUGACGUUGAGGCUCGAAAGCGUGGGAAGCAAACAGGAUUAGAAACCCCUGUAGUCC
rnacentral:rRNA from 1 species